CUGUUCUCCCGGCUCGGGGUGCUCUUGCUUUGGGUCUCUGCCGGGCGCCCCUCACUUCCUUGGCUGGGUCUUUGCUGGGUGGGACCCCUUCUCCAGGAGGCCCGCUCUGCCCCAGGCCCCGCUCUGCCCCUUCUCUCUCUCCCUGUCUGCCUCAGCUCUCUGGAAUUUUUUUUGUUUAACUUUUUAUUUUGAAAUAAUUUCAAACCUACAAGACAGCUGCAAAAAUAAUGCAAACCCUGAACAGAGAAGCCCAGCACCCCCGUCCCCUCGAGAACUGAAGCUCCUCGAGGCCAGGCCCCGCUGUCUGGUUCAUCCGCGAUGUCUGCCCAGCCCGGGCCCAGCGUCUGGCAUCUGGCGGCCGCUUGUGAGCUGCGCGUUGCGCGGGAGAUCUGGGGUCCCCCAGGCCCGCAGGUCUGAUCUGGAUCCUGGUUGUUGCUUCUCGGUUGUGGGAACAUCCUGAGGAUUUCUCAAGUCCCUUCAGGUACCAGCCUGCCUGGGAGGCUCAGGGAAGAUGCUCUGUGUUGCUCAGGGGGAAUCCCGGGGACCGCUCAGAGGAUGAGCCUCUGGAUAGUUUUUCAAAAGUCCCACUCCGUGGCCUGGACUAGACCCUGCUAACGGGAGAGGCCGGGGGAGGCCUUUCCUGGCCCCGCCUCUGAAACCUGCGGAGGACCCUCAGAUCCCGCACCCCGGCGCCUGCCAGGGAGGCCUUGGUGCGGUGCCUCCUGAUCAGCAGACGGCCCUGCCGGGAUCCCGUGGUCUCAGGGCCCUUCUGAAAAUAUUUUCACAGGCUCCUUCAGCUCCUGGGGUCUCCAUGAACCUGCUUUGAACAUGGAAGGGGCCGGGUGGACCUAAACUGAGCAGAGGUGUUAGUUAUAUGCACAAUGCUGUGCUCCCGUCAACACCAUCCACCUUGGAUCCCCAGCUGGCUGCAGCCCCGGCCUUCUCCUGUCCUCACCUGGCGAUGGCGGCCGAUCUUGCUGCAGGUAUCAGCAGCAGAGCGAGGGGUGACGGCUAAGUGUCCUGGGUGGGCGCUGCCCCCGAGCAGUGUCCGUGCUGCUGCUGCUGCAGAUUCUCGCCGUGGGCGCCGCCGCCCGUGCCCGAGGCAGCCGUUUCCCCGCGUUUCCGGGUCUCUCUGGAGCGCCCCGCUGUGCUCAGGGCGCCUGGAGCCGGGCAGGAGCGGGUGCGGGCGGCGGGAGAGGGCGCGGGGAGCCGCGGCGGACACGGCGGGGGGCGGAGGGGGUCCGGGCAUUUUUCUGUCCUAUUUUGAUUGAUUGUGAAGGAAACACAAAAGGUCAAAAUUUAUUUCUGAUAAUUAGUAAAUUCUUCCUGCAGAUGGCUCUCAGUGGAGUUACUGACCUUUCCCUUUAUUUUCCUUUUUGAUUUAGUGAAAUGAUUACUAACGGUUUCUAUUUUUCUAAAACAUCUCCUUCCCAAGAGUAAAUCUUCCAUUUGGCUUGCCUUGAUUUUGAUUGGCUUUGCCUUUUUCCUUGCAGCAAGUUUGUAAUACAACUAACAUAAGGGCUCACACCUGAAUCUUCUCGAGGUUUUUUUUUUUUUUUUUUU